CGCUGGCGGCGUGCCUAAUACAUGCAAGUAGAACGCUGAGGACUGGUGCUUGCACCGGUUCAAGGAGUUGCGAACGGGUGAGUAACGCGUAGGUAACCUACCUCAUAGCGGGGGAUAACUAUUGGAAACGAUAGCUAAUACCGCAUGACAAUGGAGGACCCAUGUCUUUCAUUUAAAAGGUGCAACUGCAUCACUAUGAGAUGGACCUGCGUUGUAUUAGCUAGUUGGUGAGGUAACGGCUCACCAAGGCGACGAUACAUAGCCGACCUGAGAGGGUGAACGGCCACACUGGGACUGAGACACGGCCCAGACUCCUACGGGAGGCAGCAGUAGGGAAUCUUCGGCAAUGGACGGAAGUCUGACCGAGCAACGCCGCGUGAGUGAAGAAGGUUUUCGGAUCGUAAAGCUCUGUUGUUAGAGAAGAAUGAUGGUGGGAGUGGAAAAUCCACCAUGUGACGGUAACUAACCAGAAAGGGACGGCUAACUACGUGCCAGCAGCCGCGGUAAUACGUAGGUCCCGAGCGUUGUCCGGAUUUAUUGGGCGUAAAGCGAGCGCAGGCGGUUCUUUAAGUCUGAAGUUAAAGGCAGCGGCUCACCCACUGUACGCUUUGGAAACUGGAGAACUUGAGUGCAGAAGGGGAGAGUGGAAUUCCAUGUGUAGCGGUGAAAUGCGUAGAUAUAUGGAGGAACACCGGUGGCGAAAGCGGCUCUCUGGUCUGUAACUGACGCUAAGGCUCGAAAGCGUG
rnacentral:rRNA from 1 species